AUGACCGGAAGCAAGGACUUGGUGGUGAACGUGCACAAAGUUUCAUCUAUGCCCAACAAUGUCGAGUGGGGUGACGCCUCAUCCUCUAAGGUAUUGGGACUUGGCAAGGUGGUAAUCUCUCAUGAUCUCAUGAUCGAGAAGGUCAUGCUUGUUGAGUCCCUUGCAUACAAUUUACUUUCCGUUCGUCAACUUGCAAUCAUGGGCUUUGCCACUUUCUUUGACACUAGCAAAAAUGCCCGUGCGUUGCGACGGGAAAAAAAUUACAUGCCCAUCCACCACUCACCUUGCGGCGCAACUGCCAGUUGGAUCAUUGGAGGAAGUGUUCUACUAACCAUCGCAGAGCCUUGCUGGUUAAAUCCUUAUUGUCCAGGGCAGCACGGGUGA
rnacentral:rRNA from 1 species